AACGAACGCUGGCGGCAUGCCUAACACAUGCAAGUCGAACGAGACCUUCGGGUCUAGUGGCGCACGGGUGCGUAACGCGUGGGAACCUGCCCUUAGGUUCGGAAUAACUCCCCGAAAGGGGUGCUAAUACCGGAUAAUGUCUUCGGACCAAAGAUUUAUCGCCUUUGGAUGGGCCCGCGUUGGAUUAGCUAGUUGGUAGGGUAAAAGCCUACCAAGGCGACGAUCCAUAGCUGGUCUGAGAGGAUGAUCAGCCACACUGGGACUGAGACACGGCCCAGACUUCCACGGGAGGCAGCAGUGGGGAAUAUUGGACAAUGGGCGAAAGCCUGAUCCAGCAAUGCCGCGUGAGUGAUGAAGGCCUUAGGGUUGUAAAGCUCUUUUACCCGGGAUGAUAAUGACAGUACCGGGAGAAUAAGCUCCGGCUAACUCCGUG
rnacentral:rRNA from 1 species